rnacentral:misc_RNA from 1 species
AAAAUGGGUAAGAAAUUAGAAGCAGCAUAAAGGCGAUAAAAAGAAGAAGACAAAUCGGGCAAAAAAAGGGUUCACGGGUCACCAAACUGUUGAUUCAACUUUAACCCAUUACCAACAAAUCUCUCAGCAAAUCAUUCACACACCUCACCCUCUGCCCCCACCACUUUAAAGCUCCAUACUAUUGCUAUAUCAUCCUAAAGCUGCUGCUGCAGCUAUAGCUAGGUUUGGCAGUAGUGCAAAAUUUCUUGAGAGAUAGGAGGUGGGUUUUGUUUCUUCUUGGUGGAUCGCCAUGUCUUCUUCUCCUUAUUCUUCUUGUUGUUGUUGGGUGAAAAUUUUAUUGUCUCUAGUUGUGUUGGUCACGUGGGGGUGUCUGGAAGGUGCAAACGGUGCAUCCUCUACAGUGAAAGUGAGUAACAUAUCAAAGAUAGAAGGAGCAGUGAACUUCCAUCUUUAUUAUGGACAGACCUUUAAAGUCAUCAAGAAUGUCGUUGAUGGCAAGAGCUACCUCCUCAUUCAGAAUAACUCAAGAAUGGCAACAAGGACAAAAUAUUGCACCUCAAGGAUCAAGUCUUUUGUCAUCCCACUCUCAAAUUUUUCUGCUGAUACCUACUUCUUUCCAGUUUCCUUUUUCGAGCUAUUGGGCAUACUAGAGAGUAUGAAAGGCAUUACAUCAGAUUCUGUGGCUUCUGAAUGUGCCUUAAAGUUAUAUGAAAGAGGAGAAACUGAGAUGAUUAACAGAAGUGACCCACAAUUAUUUGCUCAAUUUUCAGCCCAUUUUGUUAGUGAUACUGAUCAAACUCAGGCUUGUAAUUUUGCAAAUUUUGCUCCUUUUGGAGAGGAUUACCCUCUGCAGAGAGCAGAGUGGAUCAAGUUCUUAGGAGUUUUUGCAAACCUUGAGUCCAGAGCCAAUCAAGUCUAUGGCACAGUCAGGGACAACUAUCUAUGCCAAGCUAAGGUUGCAGCAAAUAAAACAAGAACCUUUAAACCAAUAGUUGCUUGGAUGGAGUAUUACAAUGGUAUAUGGUCUUUCACAAAGGAAACAUACAAGUUGAAGUAUGUGGAAGAUGCAGGUGGAGAAAAUAUUGAUAACUCUAUCAACAAGAUCACUUACAACGUCUCAAAUGCUGAUGACUUGGAUGAAUUACAUGCAAUUCUAUGUACUGUGGAUGUGGUGAUUGAUGAAACAUACACUCUUGAUCCAGCUGAGUACAAUCAAUCAACCUUUCUUCAAAAUGUAAAUGUUGAAGAUAACUCUUGCUUUGCAUUUCUCACUAAUCAAAGCUUAUGGAGAUAUGAUAAAAGAGUCCAAAACUCAACUGCACUUGACUGGUUUGAUGGAGCAGUCUCCCAACCCCAAUUGGUUCUAGCAGAUCUUAUCGAAGCUAUAUUCCCCACUGGAAAUUACACAACAAAAUAUUUUAGAAAUAUUGCAAAGGUAUUUUUUGUUCUUUUUGGCAAUGGCUAAAAAUGCAAAUAUAACAAGAGUAUGCUAUAUGACUGAACUUUAGUCGACAAAUUAUAUAUUAAUUAUAUCUAAUAUGCAGGGAGAACGGAUUAUAAGCAUUGGAGCUAACAUGUGUGAUAGAGAUAUCUCCAUUCCAAUGGAGCCUACAAUACUAGCUUGUCAAUGAUGACACUUUAUAUUUGAAAAUUUGAUUCGUUUUUCAUCCAUUGUUUUAAUAAUUUUAUUUAAUUUUCAUUUAAGAUUGUGAAUGUGUUCCAAGUGAAAGCAUUAUUGCUUAUGAUCUUAAUAGUACAAUUUUCUUAUCUAGAUGGGUUCUUUUGUUAGGCAAUUUCUUUGUAUUUUAUUUCCAAGCACGAUACAAAAUAAUAAAAUAAAAACAUUAUUUGGGUUAGAGAGAGG